UGCGUUAGAGAGGGAUUAGGGUUCACCGUUUGUGACCUUUCAGCUUCUAACGAUACUUUCUCUCUAUUUGUUCCUCUUUUUCUCUUUUCUCUCUCUGCUAGAUUCAUUAGCGUCGUCUCUUUCCUUUCUCACCGUUUCUCAUCCUUCACAACAUUUCUACUUGCCUCUGUCUCGAGUCCAAGCGCCACCGCUCGACCGUCCCAUUGUCUCACCUCUUCAAAUCCUAUUUGCAAACCGUCCUUUUGCUCCUCUACAUCAGCGGUCUUGUUUCUGCCAUGCUAUACUGCAUCAUCAUCUUCGUCCGCUUAA